rnacentral:rRNA from 1 species
GGGGGACCUUCGGGCCUCUUGCCAUCGGAUGUGCCCAGAUGGGAUUAGCUAGUAGGUGGGGUAACGGCUCACCUAGGCGACCAUCCCUAGCUGGUCUGAGAGGAUGACCAGCCACACUGGAACUGAGACACGGUCCAGACUCCUACGGGAGGCAGCAGUGGGGAAUAUUGCACAAUGGGCGCAAGCCUGAUGCAGCCCUGCCGCGUGUAUGAAGAACGCCUUCGGGUUGUAAAGCACUUUGCACGGGGAGGAACGGAG